GGUGGUGACUGUCACUAGUCACCCCAUCCCUCUCUCUGUCACUAGUCACUCCCUCCCUAACUCUGUCACUGUGUCACCCACUCCCUCCCUAACUCUGUCACUGUGAAGGAAGGAAGGGGUGACUGGUGAUAGAGUUAGGGAGGGAGUGACUAGUGACAGAGUGAGGGAGCGGGUGACACAGUGACAGAGUUAGGGAGGGAGUGACUAGUGACAGAGAGAGGGAUGGGGUGACUAGUGACAGUCAUCCCCUCCCUCUGUCACUAGUCACUCCCUCCCUCUGUUACUAGUCACUCCCUCACUCUGUCACCAGUCAUCCCCUCACUCUGUCACCAGUCACCCCUUCCCUCCCUCACUCUGCCACUAGUCAUCUUUUCCCUCCCUCACUCUGCCACUAGUCAUCUUUUCCCUCCCUCACU
rnacentral:sRNA from 1 species